AUUGAACGCUGGCGGCAGGCCUAACACAUGCAAGUCGAGCGAGCGGCGGACGGGUGAGUAAUGUCUGGGAAACUGCCUGAUGGAGGGGGAUCACUACUGGAAACGGUAGCUAAUACCGCAUACCAUCAGAUGUGCCCAGAUGGGAUUAGCUAGUAGGUGGGGUAACGGCUCACCUAGGCGACGAUCCCUAGCUGGUCUGAGAGGAUGACCAGCCACACGGGAACUGAGACACGGGCCAGAAUCGUACGGGAGGCAGCAGUGGGGAAUAGUGCACAAUGGGCGCAAGCCUGAUGCAGCCAUGCCGCGUGUGUGAAGAAGGCCUUCGGGUUGGAAAGCACUUUCAGCGGGGAGGCGUUACCCGCAGAAGAAGCACCGGCUAACUCCGCGCCAGCAGCCGCGGUAAUAC
rnacentral:rRNA from 1 species